UACGUAGGGUGCAAGCGUUGUCUGGAAUUAUUGGGCGUAAAGAGCUCGUAGGCGGUCUGUCGCGUCUGCUGUGAAAACUCAGGGCUUAACCCUGAGCUUGCAGUGGGUACGGGCAGACUAGAGUGCGGUAGGGGAGACUGGAAUUCCUGGUGUAGCGGUGAAAUGCGCAGAUAUCGAGAGGAACACCUGCGGCGAAGGCGGGUAGCUGGGCCGACACUGACGCUGAGGCGCGAAAGCCAGGGGAGCGAACGGG
rnacentral:rRNA from 1 species